rnacentral:rRNA from 1 species
GAUAAAUGUCAUUGUCAAAAGGGAAACAGCCCAGAUCUACAGCUAAGGUCCCAAAGUCAGGUUAAGUGGAAAACGAUGUGAAGAUACGCAGACAACCAGGAUGUUGGCUCAGAAGCAGCCACUCAUUCAAAGAGUGCGUAAUAGCUCACUGGUCGAGCGUCUUUGCGCGGAGAAUUUAACGGGGCUAAACCUGACACCGAAGCUUAGGCAAUACAGCAAUGUAUUGGGUAGGGGAGCGUUGUAUACGCGGUGAAACAGUAGCGCAAGCGGCUGUGGAGUGUAUAGAAGUGAGAAUGCCGGAAUGAGUAGCGCGAAUGCAGUGAGAAUCUGCAUGGCCGAAAGCCUCAGGUUUCUGGAGGAAGGUUCGUCCGCUCCAGGUCAGUCGGGAGCUAAGGUGAGGCCUAACGGCGUAGCCGAUGCACAGACGGUAGAGAUUCCGUCACCACCAAAAGAGUUAAACACAGGGACACAUUUGAAGUCUCGGAGCCGGGUGUUGGUUCCGGUAGCGAUCGAGGGAAAUUAGUACCGAAGUCCGGGAUGGAAGAUGGCGAGAAAAGCUGUGUGUAUUUCUGCGGUGCCCGUACCGCAAACCGACACAGGUAGGUAGGAAGAAGAUUCUAAGGCCAACGGGAGAAGGGUUGUUAAGGAACUCGGCAAAUUGACCCCGUAACUUCGGGAGAAGGGGUGCUCCAGAGAUGGAGCCGCAGAGAAUCGGCCCAAGCAACUGUUUACCAAAAACACAGGUUUGUGCUAAAUCGAAAGAUGACGUAUACGAGCUGACGCCUGCCCGGUGCUGGAAGGUUAAGAGGAGAUGUGCAAGCAUUGAAUCGAAGCCCCAGUGAACGGCGGCCGUAACUAUAACGGUCCUAAGGUAGCGAAAUUCCUUGUCAGGUAAGUUCUGACCCGCAUGAAAGGCGUAAUGAUUUGGGCACUGUCUCAACAGCCCGCCCGGCGAAAUUGUAGUACCGGUGAAGAUGCCGGUUACCCGCGACAAGACGGAAAGACCCCAUGGAGCUUUACUGUAGCCUAAUAUUGGGUUUCGAUGUUGCAUGCACAGGAUAGAUGGGACACUGGGAAACAAUCGCUUUGGCGGUUGCGGAGUGGCCGUUGGGAUACCAUCCUUGCGAUAUUGGAAUUCUAACCUGCGCCUUUGAAUCAAGGCGGGGGACAUUGUUAGGUGGGCAGUUUGACUGGGGCGGUCGCCUCCUAAAGAGUAACGGAGGCGUUCAAAGGUUCGCUCAGCUUGAACGGAAAUCAAGCAAAAGAGUGCAAACGCAGAAGCGAGCCUAACUGCGAGACUGACGGGUCGAGCAGUAACGAAAGUUGGAGUUAGUGAUCCGGCGGUAUGUGAGUGGAAAUGCCGUCGCUCAACGGAUAAAAGCUACCCUGGGGAUAACAGGCUGAUCUCCCCCAAGAGUCCACAUCGACGGGGAGGUUUGGCACCUCGAUGUCGGCUCAUCGCAUCCUGGGGCUGAAUUCGGUCCCAAGGGUUUGGCUGUUCGCCAAUUAAAGCGGUACGCGAGCUGGGUUCAGAACGUCGUGAGACAGUUCGGUCCCUAUCUGUCGUGGGCGCAGGAUAUUUGAAAGGCGCUGUCCCUAGUACGAGAGGACCGGGAUGGACGAACCUCUGGUGCACCAGUUGUCACGCCAGUGGCACAGCUGGGCAGCUAUGUUCGGAUCGGAUAAACGCUGAAAGCAUCUAAGCGUGAAGCCGCCCUUAAGAUAAGAUCUCCUUUAAGACCCCUUGUAGACUACGAGGUUGAUAGGUCUGAUGUGUAAGCACGGUGACGUGUUUAGCUUGCAGAUACUAAUCGGUCGUUCGCUUUUCCUU